rnacentral:misc_RNA from 1 species
UUAUGUUUUGCUUACAUCUAAUAUAAUGUGCCUAUUACUUUCCAUGUUGGUAAAGUUAUUGCUUACGGUGUUCUUAUUCCAGACAUGCCAAAGUGAAGAUUUAUGUAGUGUGAUUAGCCAUACAAACCGAACGACUUACUCGACGAAAAGUCAGGAAAAUUGCGGUUGUGCGGAAACUCGGUGCAUAAGAAAGUGUUGCAAACUAGGUUUCGCUUUACAAAAAAAUAAGAUUUGUCUAAAACGAACUUCCGAUGAACCCUUUCAAGUGCCCCUGUACAUUAAGCACACCAGUUUUUCCACAAUAUUAUCCGGCCGUAAUAUAAGCCGUUUCAAAGUGGGCAUAUUAAAGUGUAAAUUUUUUAAACUGGAUCGUGAUAAUCCCGAGGACGCGUUUUUUAUCCAAGAAAAUGGUGACUUAUGGAUGCCGAGCAAUGGGAAAAGUUACGGGAAUGGGGAAUAUUGUUUGGACGAGCGGAACGGACUGACAGCCUUCGUUUGUUUCGAUAACAACAGUUCCGAGUUGCAGGAAGUCCUUGCUGAAGAUGCCGAAUCUACCGGAAUGCUCAUCUCCAUGCCAUUCCUGGCAAUCACGUUCAUAGUAUAUGCCCUGCUGCCGGACAAGAAUUUGUACCAGUAUGCCUUAAUGAUUUAUGUACUUACACUGUUUUUGGCUUAUCUACAAUUAGUGCUGAUAAACUAUAUAACCCUUAUUGAAAACGAGGCAUGCAUACUUAUAGGAUAUUUGACACUGUUCUCGUUCACCACCUCUUUUUUCUGGUUGAACGUCAUUUGUUUUGAUAUCUGGUUCACUUUCAGUCGUGGAAGAAGCAUAGUGGGAGGAAGACGUAGUUCAGAAAUAAAAAAACUUGGUUUCUACAGCAUUUACGCUUUCGGAGUCCCUUUGGUGCUAAUCAUUCUGGUUUACCUACUCCAGACGGAGUUCCUGGACCCCUUAUCGAUUCACAACCCGAAAAUCGGCAAAGGAAAGUGUUUUUUGGAAACCGGAUGGCCCAGUUUAUGGUACUUAUACUUGGAAGCCGGGUUGAUAAUAAUUGCGAAUCUAGUCUUCUUCAGUUGGACCGCCGUCAGUAUCAGAAAAGUGAAGAAGGAAACCGCGAUGUUGAAGCAUAACGACAGCAAGAGGCACGCAUACGAGAAAAGCCAGAAGAAGUUUAAUUUAUUUAUAAAGCUAGCCUUUGCAAUGGGGAUCAACUGGAGCACUGAAAUAAUCUCCUGGUUCGUAAACUGGCAAACCGACAGCGCUUAUUCCAAAAUCUGGAUCGUCACUGAUUGCGUAAACGCCCUCUAUGGCGUCUUCAUUUUCUUUAUAUUCGUUUUCAAAAAGAAAACUUGGAGGUUAUUGAAGAGGCGUUUUUUGGGUCAAGUGAUUCCGAUAAGCGAAUAGGAGAGUCUAAAUGUCCAGUUCCAUGUUUGUGUUGUCCCAAUUUUAGAUUUUAUCGGAAGACCGCUUACAGAUACUACGCUUUCAGAGGCAAAGUUUACUUGGCCCACUCGAUGGGAGGCACGUCGUCUCGCCCCACGAACAUUUCGACCACCGAGAGCACCGUGACCACCACAGUAAACGGGGCCAGGCGACCCGAAGAUAAUAUUUUAUUACAUGACAG